GUCGUAAUGGCCGAGUAGUUAAGGCGUUUGACUCGAAAUCAAAUGGUCUCUGUCCGCACAGGUUCGAAUCCUGUCCACGACG
rnacentral:tRNA from 1 species